AUGUCGCUCUGACUAGGUACGA
rnacentral:snRNA from 1 species